rnacentral:rRNA from 1 species
UACGUAGGGCGCAAGCGUUAUCCGGAAUUAUUGGGCGUAAAGAGCUCGUUAGGCGGUUUGUCGCGUCUGCCGUGAAAGUCCGGGGCUCGAACUCCGGAUCUGCGGUGGGUACGGGCAGACUAGAGUGAUGUAGGGGAGACUGGAAUUCCGGUGUAGCGGUGAAAUGCGCAGAUAUCAGGAGGAACACCGAUGGCGAAGGCAGGUCUCUGGGCAUUAACUGACGCUGAGGAGCGAAAGCAUGGGGAGCGAACAGGAUUAGAACCGACCGUAGUCAGUCCAAGAUCC